UACGAAGGGUGCAAGCGUUAAUCGGAAUUACUGGGCGUAAAGCGUGCGUAGGCGGUUCUUUAAGUCUGCUGUGAAAUCCCCGGGCUCAACCUGGGAAUGGCAGUGGAUACUGGAGAGCUAGAGUGUGAUAGAGGAUGGUGGAAUUCCCGGUGUAGCGGUGAAAUGCGUAGAGAUCGGGAGGAACAUCAGUGGCGAAGGCGGCCAUCUGGAUCAACACUGACGCUGAGGCACGAAAGCGUGGGGAGCAAACAGG
rnacentral:rRNA from 1 species